GCUGAGUCCAAAAAGAGAGUCAGUGAAGGGAGAUAGGGGUGGGGCAAUUUUAUAGGAUUUGGGUAGGUAAAGGAAAAAGGGGGGUUGUUCUCUGGCAGGCAGGAGUGGGGGCCACAAGGUGCUCAGUAGGGGAGCUUUGGAGCCAGGAUGAGCAAGGAGAAGGAAUUUCACAAGGUAAUGUCAUCAGUUAAGGCAGGAACCGGCCAUCUGGAUAUGUACAUGCAGGUCACAGGAGAUAAUGAUGGCUUAGCUUGGGCUCAGAGGACUGACACUCUUCCUCCAGAGGAGGAGACCCAGACAGAAGAGGAGGAGGCAAGGUGAUCACAGAGGCAGAGAUUGGAUCAUGCAGCCACAAGUUGAGGAAUUCUAGUAGCCUCUACAAGCUGGAAGACGCAAGGAAUGGAUUCUCCCCUAGAACCUCUGAAGGAGCAUUCUCCUGCUGACAUUUGAUUGAUUUUGGACUUCUGGCCUCCAGACAAUUAAUUUUUUUUUUUUUUCUUUUUUUUUUUCAGACAGAGGCUUGCUCUGUUGCCCAGUCUGGAGUGCAGUGGCAUGAUCUCAGUUCACUGCAACCUCCACCUCCCAGGCUCAAGCCAUUCUCUUGCCUCAGCCUCCCAAGAAGUGGGGACUACAGGUGCCUGCCACCAUGCAUGGCUAAUUUUUGUAUUUUUAGUAGAGACGAGGUUUUGGCAUAUUGGCCAGGCUGGUCUCGAAUUCCUGGCCUCAAGUGAUUCACCCAACUCAGCCUCCCAAAGUCCUGAGAUUACUUAGGUGUGAGCCACGGCACCUGACACAGACAUUGUUUGAAGCCACCCAUUUCAUGGUUCUUUGCUGCAGUGGUUGUGGAAUAUGAAUGCACUCGUGCUGUUGGUUAGACUUUGCUGACCUUGUGUCUGUUAUUCCCUGGCAGUUCUACAAGGCCUGGAGCUGAUAGGAAAAACCUCCCUUCUUUCCCAAAUGGUCCCCAGCUGCCCCGUUCACUGAAGGCCCUGCAGUCAGGAACGGUCAGGACUUCACACCCAGUUGUUGUGGGUGUUUGGCCGACACGACACUUCCUCUUGUGUGAUUCAUGGACCCGCAGCAUUGCGUCACCUGGGAGCUUUUGGUAUUGAAGACUCUCAGGGCUCACCCGGAAGGACCUGCUGGGCCAGAAUCUACAUUUUAACAAGAUGCCCAGAAACUCCUGGAGGGCAGAGGCAUGCCUGCCAUCUUCAUCAUUGCAUUACCACCACCCAACACUAUCGGGGGACCUGCCCUGAUAAUCAGGUAGGUUCUUUUCUAUUUUCCUAAGCGUCGACUGGCUUGAGAAAUAAAAGGACAGAGUACAAAAGAGAGAAAUUUUAAAGUUGGGUAUCCGGGGGAGACAACACACAUUGGUAGGAUCCGUGAUGCCCCACAAGCCACAAAAACCAGCAAGUUUUCAUUAGGGAGUUUCAAAAGGGGAGAGAGUAUAUGAAUAGGAGUGGGUGACAGACAUCAAGUACUUAACAGGGUAAUAGAAUAUCACAAGGCAAGUGGAGACAGGGUGAGAUCACAGGACCACAGGAUGGAAGUGAAAUUAAAAUUGCUAAUAAAGUUUUGGCACCAUUGUCAUUGAUAACAUCUUAUGAGGAGACAGGGUUUUGAGAUCAACCCGUCUGACCAAAGUUUAUUAGGUGGGAAUUUUCUCUUCCUAAUAAGCCUGGGAGUGCUGUGGGAGACUGGAGUUUAUUUCACCUCUGCAAUCUCGACCAUAAGUGACAGGUAAGCCCCGGGGGGCCAGUUCAGAGACCUACCCCUAGGUGCGCAUUCUCUUUCUCAGGGACGUUCCAUGCUGAGAAAAGGAAUUCAGUGAUAUUUCUCCCAUUUGCUUUUGAAAGAAGAGAAAUAUGGUUCUGUUCUGCCUGGCUCACCAGCGGUCAGAGUUUAAGGUUAUCUCUCUAAUUCCCUGAACAAUUGCUGUUAUCCUGUUCUUUUUUCAGGGUGCCCACAUUUCAUAUUGCUCAAACACACAUGAUGUACAAUUUGUGUACUUAACGCAAUUAUUACAGGUCCUGAGACGAUAUACAUCCUUCUCGACUGACAGGAUUAAGAGAUUAAAGUAAUGACAGGCAUAGGAAAUCACAAGGGUAUUGAUUGGGGAAGUGAUAAGUGUCCAUGAAAUCUUCACAAUUUAUGUUUAGAGAUUGCAGUAAAGACAGGCAUAAGAAAUUACAAAAGUAUUAAUUUGGGGAACUAAUAAAUGUCCAUAAAAUCUUCAUAAUCCACGUUCUUCUGUCAUGGCUUCAGCCGGUCCCUCUGUUUGGGGUCCCGACUUCCCGCAACAUCUCUCCCUUUCUUUUUAUAUAAAUGUGCCAUGGCGAUGAAGGCUUGUUCAUUCUCUCGAUUUUGACACAGGAUUAUUUGACUGGUACGGCACACUAAAAGCAAGCCGAUGAAGCAGAGAAACAUAAUUCCAGAAUUUACUACAGUGGAGCCCCCAAUAGACUUAAUCCAAGUUCUGGGGUUUAAUCCAUAAAGAUUUUCUGCCACCU
rnacentral:lncRNA from 10 species